rnacentral:sRNA from 1 species
UUACACAUGCAAGUCGAACGGCAGCACGGGGGCAACCCUGGUGGCGAGUGGCGAACCGGUGAGUAAUAUAUCGGAACGUACCCGGAAAUGGGGGAUAACGUAGCGAAAGUUACGCUAAUACCGCAUAUGCCCUGAGGGGGAAAGUGGGGGAUCGCAAGACCUCACGUUUUCGGAGCGGCCGAUAUCGGAUUAGCUAGUUGGUUAGGUAAAGGCUGACCAAGGCGACGAUCCGUAGCUGGUCUGAGAGGACGACCAGCCACACUGGAACUGAGACACGGUCCAGACUCCUACGGGAGGCAGCAGUGGGACUCCUACGGGAGGCAGCAGUGGG